CGUUUCAUGUAUAAAUUCAACAUAAUUUCUCUGUGUAGACACCACAGGAAGCUGAAGAGACAGUACCCCUCUCUCCAUCGGCAGAGAAUAUCACACACACAGGAGUUUUAUAGGGAAUAUGAAGAUGGGUGUCUCAGUGAGGUGUAAAGGAUCCUUUCUUGUCGAAAUAAGGACAUACUUUUCCGCCAAAUUCCGAGGACCCACAGUACACUUUGCAGUAUUGUGCUUUUCUAAUUGGUACACUGAAUUAUGACAUCAUUCAUAAAAUAUCAGUUCUCCCUUUCCUUGCUAAUACUGCUCCAUGCCGAAAACAUGUUCCUGCUUUGUUUGAAGCCAGGGUUAUCAUGGAUGCUUGUAUUUCUACUGCUUCUUUCUGUUUUACAGAGCUCAUAAAGUCAGCUGAGAGGAAAGCUGCACUUGAAUGGUGCAUUAUGACAGAGUUAUGUUAAUAAAUUGAUGUUACUUGUUU